rnacentral:rRNA from 1 species
UACGUAGGCAGCAAGCGUUGUUCGGAAUUACUGGGCGUAAAGAGCGUGUAGGCGGCGUUCUAAGUCUGGUGUGAAAUCUCCCGGCUCAACUGGGAGGGUGCGCUAGAAACUGGAAUGCUAGAGGAUGGGAGAGGUAAGCGGAAUUCCUGGUGUAGCGGUGAAAUGCGCAGAUAUCAGGAGGAACACCAAUUGCGAAGGCAGCUCGCUGGGACGUUACUGACGCUGAGACGCGAAAGCGUGGGGAGCAAACAGG